UUGCUUUUCCUCUUUGAUCGUCGGCGAUCCUAGGUCAGGUCAUGGAUCGUUUGAGUGGAUCUUGGAUUCCUCUGCCGGAGCUAGGUCUUGGCAGACGCUGGCUAGUUGAGGGUCAGUAGAUUCAAUACAUUGCAUUAUGGAUUGGAUUAGGUGACACUUUCUGGAGGCAACCGAUCGAGUACUUGGACUUUCUCUUCUUCACUGUGAUUGAGGUCUCGGUUGAAGUGGAGAAGAAUCCCAGCAGUCAAUA